AUGAACUACACCCUUGUACUUUCUUAUGAUAAGAAGGAUGAGAACACUUGUUGGGUAUUUCACCAAACGAAUGAUAGGUUUUGCAUUUCCGCUAACCUCAUUUGUUUUUUUGAGCGUUUGUCAUGUUCUUUCGUUUUGAAGGAUUCACAAGGCAUUAACGUCAUGAGACAUAUUGGUUAUGUGAAGGCAUACAUGAUGUGCAACUCCAACAUCUUCGGGAACAUUGAUGAGGUGAACUCCUUUCCUUUGAGCCAUCCUCACAUAUGCAUAUUGGAUGGGUCAUUCUUUCAUUGUUGUCUCCUUCUUCCUGUCUACAUGUUACAUCUAUUGGAUGGAGGAGCAACAUUAGAGAUGGGCCCUUUGGACCUUUAA
rnacentral:rRNA from 1 species